CCUACGGGUGGCAGCAGUCGAGAAUCAUUCACAAUGGGGGAAACCCUGAUGGUGCGACGCCGCGUGGGGGAAUGAAGGUCUUCGGAUUGUAAACCCCUGUCAUGUGGGAGCAAAUUAAAAAGAUAGUACCACAAGAGGAAGAGACGGCUAACUCUGUACCAGCAGCCGCGGGAAUACAGAGGUCCCAAGCGUGGUUCGGAAUCACUGGGCGGAAAGCGUGCGUAGGCUGUUUCGUAAGUCGUGUGUGAAAUGCGCGGGCUCAACCCGCGGACGGCACAUGAUACUGGGAGACUAGAGUAAGGGAGGGGGAACCGGAAUUCGCGGUGUAGCAGUGAAAUGCGUAGAUAUCGAGAGGAACA
rnacentral:rRNA from 1 species